GCCUUCUUAGCACAGUGGUAGUGCGCGUCACUAGUAUUCUGGUUACAUAAUCAUGUCACGUCAUCCAAAGCUCGACCGAGCGGAUUGAACACUCUCCUGGGAUAGAGGUUGGUUGUUCGAUCCGGUCAGAAGGCA